rnacentral:misc_RNA from 1 species
AUUUAUUUUUGCCCUAAAACCAAAUAACGUUUUACACAUUUAAUACACUUGCCUAUGCCUUUGCCAAUCUGAUACAAGAUAAUCGAUACAUAUUCAAAAACAUAUUUAUAUUGUGUAAGAAUUGAAUUAAGUACCGGGUCUCCAUGCUUUUCAAGAACACGUAACAGAACUCUCUUAAGAUCCCCAGUUAGGAAUGUUUGCCGUGGCUUCAUUAACCAUUUUCACAAGUGUCACCACGCUUUCCGGGACACCAGCUGGUGGCAGGGGAAGGUUUCUGGGAGGAACAACAUUAUCAUAUGAUCUCUUGUCGAACCUCCAUUCACCAAUCUUACCGUAAGUCAGUUCUCCCUUCAUAUUGUAGUCACAUCCAUAAGUAUAAUGGAUUAUGAACUUCUUGCCGACUUCUGUAUCCCAUGGGGGCUGAAUCA